UACGGAGGAUCCGAGCGUUAUCCGGAUUUAUUGGGUUUAAAGGGUGCGCAGGCGGGAGAUUAAGUCGGCGGUGAAAUUUUGCAGCUCAACUGUAAAAGUGCCUUCGAAACUGGUUUCCUUGAGUGUGGAUGAAGUAGGCGGAAUUUGUGGUGUAGCGGUGAAAUGCAUAGAUAUCACGAGGAACCCCGAUUGCGCAGGCAGCUUACUAAACCAUAACUGACGCUCAGGCACGAAGGCGUGGGGAUCAAACAGGAUUAGAUACCCCGGUAGUCCCUGA
rnacentral:rRNA from 1 species